CGGACAAUAUUGGAGACUAAAGUUCUCUAUUUAUCCACAGAACAAAUACAGAGCAGUCAGUGGCAGUGCAAGCUUCCUAACAUUGCUGUUGGAGCGGGUCAAAAUUUGUUCAUCAGAAUGAUUUCCCAACAAAUAUGCCCUUUUUGUAAAACUGAAACUUUAAAUUUUUAAAAUUUCAGUUUUUCAGAAUU
rnacentral:sRNA from 1 species